UCCCUGCUGGCUCAGAUGGUAAAGAAUCUGCCUGAUGUGCAGGAGACCCAGGUUCGAUCUCUGGGUCGGGAA
rnacentral:tRNA from 1 species